AUGUCAUCCCAUGGAGAAUUUAAUGAAAGAAAUCUACAGAAGGGCUCCAUCUACCCAUCUAUUGUCUUUCCUCCUUGUCCAGAGGAGAAGCAAGGAUGCACAUCUGUGCAGCGAGCACCAGGAUCUCCUCCUUUGGCUCUGGUGGUGUGGGAUCUGCCAAAAUUGGCGGUGGCGGUGGUGCUGGUGGCGGGGAAGGAGGAGGAACUAAAGGAGCUUUCUGUUGAGGCUCCGGAUUUUUUGGGUGUUUCUCUCUUUUCGGCCUCCGCUUUUGGGCCUAAAUGGGAAGCACUAUCCUGGAGCUCAUUCCAACGCGGCGGAAGCGGGUCUUGGGGCUUCGCGAAGGCGGCGGCUAAGCGUGAGGGAGGUAAGAACUGCGCCUGCGCCGCCGCCGCCGCCGCCGCCGCUCUGGCAGAUGGCGAAUACUGCCCAGAGGUGAAACUAAAAACAACAGGAUUAGAGGCGGCGGCCAAGGCAGAGACCGCAAAGGGAAAUGGUGAAGCUGAGGACCAGGAAGAGAAAGAAGACCCUGAGAAAGAAAACAUUGAAAAAGAAGAUGAUGUAGAUCAGCAACUUGCGAACAUAGACCCGAGGUGGAUAGAAUCACCUAAAACCAAUGGCCAUCAUGGAAAUGGCCCAUUCUUACUGGAGCAGCAACUGGACGAUGAAGAGGAUAAUGAAGAAGACUGCCCAAAUCCUUAGGAAUAUAAUCUUGAUGAGCCAAAUGCAGAAAGUGAUUACACAUACAGCAGCUCCUAUGAACAAUUCAACAGUGAAUUGCCAAAUGGAUGGCAUAAAAUUCCCGAGUCACAGUUUCCAGAGUUUUCCACCUCGUUGUUCUCUGGAUCCUUAGAACCUGUGGCCUGCGGCUCUGUGCUUUCUGAGGGAUCACCACUUACUGAGCAAAGGGAAAGCAGUCCGUCCCAUGACAAAAGCAGGACGGUUUCAGCCUCCAGUACUGGGGAUUUGCCAAAAGCAAAAACCCAGGAGGCUGACUUGUUGGUGAACCCCCUGGAUCCACGAAAUGCUGAUAAAAUUAGAGUAGAAAUUGCUGACCUGGGAAAUGCUUGUUGGGUGCGUAAACACUUCACAGAAAACAUCCAGAUGCGUCAGCACCGUUCCGUAGAGGUUUUAAUAGGAACGGGAUACAACAGCACCCCUGCGGACAUCUGGAGCACGGCAUGUACGGCAUUUGAGCUGGCAACGGGCGAUUAUGUUUGAACCACAUUCUGGGGAAGACUAUUCCAGAGACGAAGAUCACAUAGCAUUGAUCAUUGAACUGCGGGGGAAAGUCCCUCGAAAAUACGCUAUGUUGGGGAAAUGUUUCAAGGAGUUUUUCACCAGAAAAGGAGAACUGCGACAUGACCGAGCCGAAGCCCUGAUGCCCUUUUGAUGUACUUGUGGAGAACUAUGGCUGGCCCCAUGAAGAUACUGCACAGUUUACAGAUUUCCUGAUCCCGAUGUUAGAGAUGGUUCCCGAAAAAACGAGCCUCCGCUGGCUAAUGCCUUCGGCAUCCUUGGUUGAAUUCUUAG